rnacentral:rRNA from 1 species
GACGAACGCUGGCGGCGCGCCUAACACAUGCAAGUCGAACGAGCGAGAGAGAGCUUGCUUUCUCAAGCGAGUGGCGAACGGGUGAGUAACGCGUGAGGAACCUGCCUCAAAGAGGGGGACAACAGUUGGAAACGACUGCUAAUACCGCAUAAGCCCACGGUGCCGCAUGGCACAGAGGGAAAAGGAGCAAUCCGCUUUGAGAUGGCCUCGCGUCCGAUUAGCUAGUUGGUGAGGUAAUGGCCCACCAAGGCGACGAUCGGUAGCCGGACUGAGAGGUUGAACGGCCACAUUGGGACUGAGACACGGCCCAGACUCCUACGGGAGGCAGCAGUGGGGAAUAUUGCACAAUGGGGGAAACCCUGAUGCAGCGACGCCGCGUGGAGGAAGAAGGUCUUCGGAUUGUAAACUCCUGUUGUUGGGGAAGAUAAUGACGGUACCCAACAAGGAAGUGACGGCUAACUACGUG